UACAGAGGUCUCGAGCGUUGUUCGGAUUCAUUGGGCGUAAAGGGUGCGUAGGUGGCGUGGUAAGUCGGGUGUGAAAUCCCGGGGCUCAACCCCGGGACUGCAUUCGAUACUGCUGUGCUUGAGGACUGGAGAGGAGACUGGAAUUUACGGUGUAGCAGUGAAAUGCGUAGAGAUCGUAAGGAAGACCAGUGGCGAAGGCGGGUCUCUGGACAGUUCCUGACACUGAGGCACGAAGGCCAGGGGAGCAAACGGG
rnacentral:rRNA from 1 species